AUAAUAUUUUGACUGUCUGUUUAUUGAGCAAUUUCGCUCGCUCAGUGGAAGAUCUUAUCUUUGUCGU
rnacentral:pre_miRNA from 1 species